rnacentral:lncRNA from 1 species
AUGUUUCCACACCUCUGUGAUAAAGUGGUUCAUAGCAGCCACAUCUCCACAGCACGAGAACUAGAGCAAUGUACACUGCUGUCACAAGAUAUCCAUGCCAACACUUCACUUCCGAGAGUGGAGAUGACGCUGACCUUUAAGAGUGUCAUAAGAGACAUUUUCAUCCUCCCAGCUGCAGAGACCUACCCCCAGAGUUGCUGCUAUUGGGGGCGGGCAGAGGAACAGGUUCCUUUUCUGUCUGUGGCCUCUGCUUCCUUCAAAAGCUUGGACUGGGAGUUAGUCAUUUUUCAACGCAAUCAAGCUAAGAGGCUUCCUCUUAAUAAUUUAUAAUUAAAUCAAAAUACUGAUUAAAAACAGAG